CUGCCAUGCAAGACGUGACUUUGCUCCUCCUUUGCCUUCUGCCAUAAUUGUGAGGUCUCCCCAGCUAUGUGGAACUGAUUUGCCAUGGGGAACCUAGAGAGCAAGAGGAUUGCUCACUUAAGGGGAAACUAACUACCACGUUAUGCAGCUCUACUGUAAAAAUGCACAGGGUGAGAAACCAAGGCCUCCUUCUGACAGGAGCCACUUGCCGGUCAUGUGAGUAAGCCAUCAUGGAGAUAGGUCCGUGUUUAUAACUGGUGUCAUAUGCCUGUCCCACUGCUGUAUUUUGAAAGCAGGAAACUCAUUUCUUGAGUGUUGCAGGUUCGCAGAGGAAGAAUUGUGCCCCUGGAUGAAUUAUACCUACAGCCUCACUCAUAUCCAAUUUAGAUAAUGUAGGUAAGAGUUGGAAAUUUUGAACUGAUGAGAUCUUGGACUUUGAGUUGAAGCUGUAAUGGAUUGAGACUUUUGGGAACCCUGAAGUGCGGUGAAUGUAUUUUGUGUGUAGGACAUAUAUGAAUCAUUGGGGGGUUAGAAGUGUGCUAUGAUAGAUACCCCCACAUACACACACAAGAGGUCCACUUUUUACUCCCUGAAGCUUGUGAAUAUGUUAACUUACUUGGCAAAAAAAAAAAAAAGGGAAAAAAGAAACUUGGCAGAUGUAAUUAGGUUAAGGGUCUUGAGAUUGGUAGAUUCUUUGGGUAGACCAACUGUAAUCACAUGGCUCCUUGUAAGAGCAGAGAGGCAGUACAUUGGAGGCCAGAGAAAGAUAUCAAGAUCCUAUGCUACUGGCUUUGCUGAUGGAGGAAGAAGCCAUUAAGCCAAGGAAUGCAGGUGGCAUCUAGAAGCUAGAAAAAGCAAGGAAACAGAUUUUGUCCAACAGCCUCCAGAAAGAGAAGAAUGAAAUACAAUUUACCAUAGAAUGCAUUGUGCCAUUACUUAAAUUGUUAUUUUAAAUUAUUUUUUAACCUUUUUUGCUUAUUAGUUGUUUGAGAUUAUGAAUCUUAUGCUGCUAGAAUUAAUUACACCUCCAUUACCAUUGGAUCCAGCUGAUGUCCAAUCAAUAAAUACCUGUUGAUUGAAUUGGUUAUAAAUUUCACUUUUUUUCUUUUUUUUUUCAUGGAGGUGUAAUUUACAUGAAAGAAAAUGGACAGGUUUUGAUUUUUUUUUCCAUUGAGGUGUAAUUUACGUAAAAUAACAUGCAUAGGUUUUAAGUGUUCAUUUGAAUGAAUUUGUCAAAUAUAUAUAGCAAAGUAACCACUGUGCAAAACAAGAUACAAAAUAUUUCUAUAUUCCCAAAAGGUUCCUUGUGUACUGUACAGUCAUCCCAUUUUCCAAGAAACAAUUAUUUUCAGAUUUAUUUUACACAACAAAAUGUUUAUUACUAGUUGUAUCUCGUGGUAAGAUUACAUAAUAACACAAAUUAUUUAUUCUCUCGUAUUGUUAGACAUUUAUUUAACAGUAUCAGGAAUUGAUUACAUUAUCAGGAGCAAUGCUCCAAAGUAUUUGUGGCAUUUUAUAUCCCUGCCAGCAACAUACAAGGAUUCCAAUAUGAUCUGUGUCUUUGCCAGUAUUUGGUAUUGUCAGACAUUUUAAUUUUAGCUAUUCAAAUGCAAAUGAAAUGAUAUCUCAUUGUUGUUUUAGUUUUCAUUUUACUGGUUGCUAUAGUUAAGAUGUUUACCCCCUCCAAAUCUCAUGUUAAAAUUUAAUCCCCAGUAUUGGAGGUGGGCCUAAUGGGAGUUAUUUGGGUUAUGGGAGUUGAUACCUCAUUAAUAGAUUAAUGCUCUUCUGGGGGGUGGUGAGUGUGUUUUCCCUCUUUUAGUUUUUGUGAAAGCUGGUUGUUAAAAAGAACCUGGUACCUUCUCCUUCUCCUCUUGUUUCCACUCUGGUCAUGUGAUCUCUAUACACCAGCUCCCCUUCACCUUCUGCCAUGAGUGAAAGCAGACUGAGGCCCUCACCAGAAGCAGAUGCUGGCCUCAUGCUUCUUGUACAGCCUGUAGAACUGUGAGCCAAAUAAACCUCUUUUCUUUAUAAAUUACCCAACCUCAGGGAUUCCUUUAUAACAACACAAAAUAGGCUGUGAUACUGAUGACUAUUGAUAUUGAAGACUGUAUUAGUCCAUUUUCAUGCUGCUAAUAAAGACAUACCUGAAACUGGGAAGAAAAAGAGGUUUAGGAAGGCUGAAGUGGGUGGAUCAUGAAGUCAGGAGUUUGAGACCAGCCUGGCCAACAUGGUGAAACUCCAUCUCUACUAAAAAUACAAAAAUUAGCCAGGCAUGGUGGUGGGCACCUGUAAUCCCAGCUACUCAGGAGGCUGAGGCAGGAGAAUCACUUGAACCCGGGAGGUGGAGG
rnacentral:lncRNA from 10 species